CGCCCCGAGCCGAAGGCAGACGCCCAACUGCUGUGCCACCCAGGCGCCCCAAGAUCCUAAUACCAUUUUUACGUUUAAUUUUUGGACGCACCUCCAUGCUGUUUUCCGGGGCACAAGGGUUCCAAUUUCUCCACAUCCUCGCCAUCGCUUGCCGUUUGACAGCCCACCUGCACACUAGGUCACAAUCCCACUCCAGAUGAGAACAUGCCACGCUAUGGGGCAUGGGACCCGGCCUUCCCGAGCAACUGUCUUCACCCACUGUGACCUCUGAUGAUGGCCAUGCGGUCUCUCCCUGCUGCAGAGUGACCUUGACAUUCCUCCCAUUCAACGUGGAGUCUUAAAACAAGAUGCAUGAAGUGACACCGCAUGGCUUCCAAGGCCAGGUCAGAAGCGGAGACAUGAGGUCACCCUUCUGUCUUAAGAUGCUCACAUGGAGCCCUGAGCCAGCAGGGGCAGGCCAUCAAGUGAGGAGUCCCAGGGACCUAGGGCCGCCAUGCUGCAAGGACGGCACCAGGAGGCGCCCCAGCCAGCAGCCCUGGCUGAGCUCC